rnacentral:tRNA from 1 species
UGUCCAGAUUAAUUAUCGUUUUUUUCCAACUUAGUAUGAGAUAUACUUACCUAAUCUUAAGAACGCAUGAAACUGAAAGAAAUG